rnacentral:tRNA from 1 species
AUCUAAAUAGUUUAAUAAAAAUAUUAAUUUGUGGAAUUAGAGAUAUAAUAGUUUAUUUUAGGUA